CCUACGGGAGGCAGCAGUGAGGAAUAUUGGUCAAUGGGCGCGAGCCUGAACCCGCCAAGUAGCGUGAAGGAUGACUGCCCUACGGGUUGUAAACUUCUUUUAUAAAGGAAUAAAGUGAGGCACGUGUGCCUUUUUGUAUGUACUUUAUGAAUAAGGAUCGUCUAACUCCGUGCCAGCAGCCGCGGUACUACGGAGGAUCCGAGCGUUAUCCGGAGUAAUUGGGUUUAAAGGGAGCGUAGAUGGGUUGUUAAGUCAGUUGUGAAAGCUUGCGGCUCAACCGUAAAAUUGCAAUUGAUACUGGCAGCCUUGAGUACAGUUGAGGUAGGCGGAAUUCGUGGUGUAGCGGUGAAAUGCUUAGAUAUCACGAAGAACUCCGAUUGCGAAGGCAGCCUACUAAACUGCCACUGACAUUGAUGCUCGAAAGUGUGGGUAUCAAACAGGAUUAGAUACCCUUGUAGUC
rnacentral:rRNA from 1 species